rnacentral:rRNA from 1 species
GGGCCCGCACAAGCAGUGGAGCAUGUGGUUUAAUUCGAUGCAACGCGAAGAACCUUACCAGGGUUUGACAUAGUACGAAGUUUUUUGAAAAAAAACCACCUUCGGGAACGUACAUACAGGUGGUGCAUGGCUGUCGUCAGCUCGUGUCGUGAGAUGUUGGGUUAAGUCCCGCAACGAGCGUAACCCUUGUUUUAGUUGCUCACUGAGUGCUUAAGAGAGACUGCCGGUGAUAAACCGGAGGAAGGUGAGGACGACGUCAAGUCAGCAUGCCCCUUACGCCCUGGGCUACACACGUACUACAAUGGCCGAGACAAAGAGUCGCAAGUUUGCAAAGACAAGCUAAUCUCAUAAACUCGGUCUCAGUUCGGAUUGUAGGCUGCAACUCGCCUACAUGAAGUUGGAAUC